rnacentral:lncRNA from 1 species
GGGCUGGGCCGCUCUCCACCGGAGCGGCUGGAAAAGCCGCUUCCCUGCCCCAGCCAGCCCGGGGCAGGAGGGCGGCGGGUCCCGGGGUGACUGCUUGCCCGUGGGACAGGGGGUUAUUAUCACAGCUGUGUAACCCGGGGGCGGGAGCCCUGGCGGGAAGAGGGCGGAGGUGGGAGCUCAGCCAAGUGCUGGGCGCUUAGCGCGGUGCAGGCACGCACCUUGCACGGGCAGGGCAGGCCAGGCCAGGCCAGGCCAGGCAGCGCUGCUGUACUGUGGGCAGGGACUUGCUCUCACCCCCACGUGGAAUAGGAGCAUUUCCCGAUCCACGGACCGGAGCGUGAUCACCCUGGAAAGGCUACUCAGCUCUGCCCUCCCGGGGUACGUCCGCUCCGCAGCUAAACGCCAGCUCUGCCCUGCCAGGGUACAUCUACACGCCAGCUCUGCCCUGCCAGGGUACCUCUACACGCCAGCUUUACCCUCCCGGGGUACGUCCGCUCUGCAGCUAAACGCCAGCUCUGCCCUCCCUGGGGUAGUCAGUGGUUCUCAGACUUUUGUAGUGGUGACCCCUUUCACACAGCAAGCCUCUGAAUGUGACCCCCCUUAUAAAUUAAAAAAACACUUUUUAAAAUAUUUAACACUAUUAUAAAUGUUGGGGGUGGAGGCUGACAGCUUGCGACCCCCUGAGGGGUCACGACCCCCAGUUUGAGAACCCCUGGGGUACAUCUAUGCAGCAACUAAACACCCUCUGCUGGCCCAUGUCAGCAGACUCAGACUCAGGCUACAGGGUGGUCAGGGGCAUCUCUAGCUUUUUUGCCCCCCAAGCACAGCAGUCAGGCAGCCUUUGACAGCUUUUUGAGGGCUUGCCUGUGGGAGGUUCCUGAUCCCACGGAUUCAGCAGCUUGCCU